rnacentral:lncRNA from 1 species
CACUGCACACCCGUCCCGAGACACCACUGCACACCCGUCCCGAGACACCACGCACACCCGUCCCGAGACACCACUGCACACCCGUCCCGAGACACCACUGCACACCCGUCCCGAGACACCACUGCACACCCGUCCCGUGACACCACUGCACACCCAUCCCGAGACACCACUGCACACCCAUCCCGAGACACCACUGCACACCCAUCCCGUGACACCACUCACACCCAUCCCGUGACACCACGCACACCCAUCCCGAGACACCACUCACACCCAUCCCGUGACACCACGCACACCCAUCCCGAGACACCACUCACACCCAUCCCGUGACACCACUCACACCCAUCCCGAGACACCACUCACACCCAUCCCGAGACACCACUCACACCCAUCCCGAGACACCACUGCACACCCAUCCCGAGACACCACUCACACCCAUCCCGAGACACCACUCACACCCAUCCCGAGACACCACGCACACCCAUCCCGAGACACCACGCACACCCAUCCCGAGACACCACGCACACCCAUCCCGAGACACCACGCACACCCAUCCCGAGACACCACUGCACACCCAUCCCGUGACACCACGCACACCCAUCCCGAGACACCACUCACACCCAUCCCGAGACACCACUCACACCCAUCCCGAGACACCACGCACACCCAUCCCGAGACACCACGCACACCCGUCCCGAGACACCACUGCACACCCG